GUAUUUGACUGGACUAUAUUGAAGUAUCCUCAGAUUGGCUCCAGUUCUAGAGCAAGGCCAAGCAGCAAACCAGCUGUAAAUCCAGGUCCAUCAGCGGAAAACGACCUUCAGUUGGUCAAGAGAUCCGAGAAAGAUUCUCAGGUGCAGUAGAGGCAUUUGCUCGAAGAAAUGGUUCUGGGCAUACUUUGCAUGGGGAUCACUUGCGACACAGGUCUUCAGAUGAUGUGCCAUCACCUAAGGAUGUGCAUCCUGAUUCUGAUAGGCACCGGUCUUCAUCUCGAAAUGGCAGUACUUCAAAGAGGGCUGUUGUAUCAAGCAGCCGGCCAAGUUCAUCUGGUGAGCCUAGCGAGAAUCGGUCAAGCCGGCUGCUCUCAAGCAGUGGUCGAUUGUCCACAACCCACAGAGUGCAACCUGGGUUUGAGUCCAAAUCGUCUACAUUUAGUCGUGCUACUGCCACAAGAGGCGGUCGCGAUGAUGCACUUAGGAGCUUUGAGCUCUUGUCCAUUGGCACAGGAAAAAGGAAAUAAGGAAAAUUUGUCAGAUAGGAAGGGUUAUCUUGUGUUAGGGAUCAAAAUUCCUAUCAAGAUCUGAGGAUUAUAAUGGUUUGUUAGCAUUUACUUUGUAUAUGUGUUCCCAUUCUUGGGUUCCACUCAUGGCAAAAGCUCCACGAAGUUUGACAUGGAAAGACUAUUGGACUCCUGCAGUAUCUGUUCAGGGAUUCUUGCAAUUACAAGGUCCACUGAACUCGACCUUGAAGGACAUGUGAAUCAUUUCGCAUUAGGGAAUUGUUUAUAUUGAGACAUUGGUAACUUGUAAUAAAUAUCACUAUGUAUUUUUUCCCUGAGGAAAAGAUAAUUUCAAUUAAUAGGC
rnacentral:misc_RNA from 1 species